rnacentral:lncRNA from 1 species
AGAUGCUGCUGAUCUGCUAUGCCGCUGAACGCAAGACGAGACGUGUCAGAAGUUGCUGCCCUGCUCAAGCUUCAGUCAUAUAACCCCUUCCCAUCAGCUGGGCCAGCAGAACCGAACCUCCUGGCUGUGCUCUCAGCCCCACCAGACGUGCCCAUGUAAAGCUCCUUCUCCGCAGCACCCGCAGACGGCCUGCGUAGGUAUGCGCAGGCCCCUCUCACACUAGCCUUGAAGGACGUCACCUCGUGGCACUCAUCCAAAAUAAGGAUUUUUCACACUUGAGCAGAGGGAAGAGAAAUGGAAGGGAGAAGCUGGAGGUGGAGGGGCAAGGCUGUCAAAGGAACACCCACCUGCUGAUGUACCUCCCUGAUGGAUGCCCAUAACCCACCUGCUGAUGUACCUCCCUGAUGGGUGCCCAUAACCCACCUGCUGAUGUACCUCCCUGAUGGGUGCCCAUAACCACAUCCUGGGAGCAGCAUCCCCUGCAGCCUGCCGAUGGGUCUCCUCCCCAGGGCAAAGCCUGCCUUCAUUUUCCAGGGAUCAGAUGGUGGCUGCCAAGCAAGUUACUCGCCCAGCCUGGAGAAGUUUUUCCCUUUGCUUUUGAGUACAUCUCCUCUACAGGUUUCUGGAUUCAUCGAUGAAGUUAUCUGCUGAUUUAACAGUGUUUGUGAAUUGAAAUCAGCAUCUACAGAGCCCACGCAGACGCUCCCCUCUCCCGCCACCCGUUCCCCCCAGUGCAGCCACGCAGGCAGUGUUGCCAUAAGCCAGCGCCACUUUUGUGCCAGCUUUUCAAUGGGAAGAGGUUUUGGCUUCUCGCUGCCAUCCGCUUGCUGCUAAUAGUAGCACUGCUCUGUCCCUAACUGUCUUUCCACAAGAGCUUAAAGCAUAAAACUUAAUGUCCCAUGAGGAAAUGCGCACCAGUUCGGGCCCAUCUCAUCUGGAUUAAAGAUGUCUUUUGCUUCAGUCUUUCAUAAGGCGAGGGAGAACUUACAUUACCCAGAUCUCAGCGGCAGACCCAUGUGUGUGUUUUUCACCAGGCUGUCACUUGGACUGUUUCACAUUACAGCCUCCCGUCUCUGGCCAUUGAUUUGCACUGUGGUUAUCAUUGGAAGGGAAACCUAUCUGACUGGAAGGGUACAAGGCAUUGUUCUGACUCAAUCAUGACCGCAGCCUUCAGCGGCACCAAGACCCCAAGCUGGACCGUCAGCAUUCAGAAGGGGCUCGGCUCCAUCAGCUCUGGUGCCGGGAUCCUGACUCGCAGCAGGUGAUAACCUAACCCUCACUUUCUUACAUUUCCAAAUGCAAGUUACUCUGAAACCUGGGGGCUUCCCACCUGACAGCGACUGUUCUGGUUGCUUUUUUUUCCCCGCCACACUUACACAGUCAGCGAGG